UACGUAGGGACCAAGCGUUGUUCGGAUUUACUGGGCGUAAAGGGCGCGUAGGCGGCGUGUUAAGUCAGCUGUGAAAUCUCCGAGCUUAACUCGGAACGGUCAGCUGAUACUGAUGUGCUAGAGUGCAGAAGGGGCAAUCGGAAUUCUUGGUGUAGCGGUGAAAUGCGCAGAUAUCAGGAGGAACACCGAUGGCGAAGGCAGGUCUCUGGGCCACUACUGACGCUGAGAAGCGAAAGCAUGGGGAGCGAACAGG
rnacentral:rRNA from 1 species